GGACGGUGCGCCGCCAAGGUGGUGUUGAGCACUUUAAAACAAUUUUCAAUCGAAUCAGCCACCUCCGUCGCCUUGCAAAUUUCUGUAGGCUCAAACACUUUUCGGAGCACUUCAUGUCUUACAGACAUUUAGCCAAUUGUGUUACUUUGAUUUCACAUCAAGGCUUGAAAUCAUUCGGCUAUGUGGAUGAUUACUGAUAGGCCUAAAUUUCCUGACCGGGUUCUUCUCAUAGAUGAUUUUGUAUUAGAACAAUAUGAAACAGAGAUAUCAACUGAAUCAACCCCAUUUGCCGUUUCACUUGCAAGACACCUACACACUGUUGUUUGGUUCUGAGAUGUAUGGAGCGUUUUGGUGUUCUCAUUACAAUGAGCAAAAACUGACCAAAAAGUGCUAAAUAUGCAAGUCUUGACGCUAAAAGAUUUAUCAUCCCAAGAUUCAACUGGAAGGUUCUUGUGUGUGCUGCUCGAAUAUGGAAGUGUAGGCAUCAGAAAAACAAAGCAGAACUUAUAUGAGCUAGAGUUUAUUGUCGAUGAGGCUGAAGAUCAAAGAAGAAGCACAUAUCAGGCGUGCCACCAAGGAGUAGGUUAUCCCCAACACGGUUGGCAAAGGCAUGGAAAUUAGCCUCCUUUUCUCUGACAAAGAAGAGGUGACUUUGGUAAAUACUGAUUGCCCUCCAAGUAGAAAUAAUAAGGUUUUCCAAAAAUUGUGUUCUAUGUUUUUACGUCCCAGUUACCAAGUGUAAUGUGCAUACGAUGGCUUCCAGGGAUUGCAUAGUCAGUUUUUAUCUUUGAUGGUGUAAUAAAAGUUGCGACGAGAUCCCAUACAUGUACCACAUGCAUCAACAUUGUUGCUUUUUCUUUUUGCGAAUUCAUCUACAUUGUUGCUUGAUAGAUGAUUUAUCUGACAACUUGGA